rnacentral:lncRNA from 1 species
UGUGCAAGGUGCAAACGCAAAGUGCUGGGACGACGCGACCAUAGUAAACGCCCUACGAUGAAUCGGAUACACGCGAGAGAUGUGCUUCGUGAGACGCUGUGCGCACACAAGUUCUCGCUACCGAAAUCCGACUCGUUCAGGACGCAUUGAAGCGGACACAGCCUGCAGUGAAAAACAACACGACGGCGGGAUGACGGAUUUCUUGCGAGUCAGCAACGAUAUAUGCAGACGUGGCAAAGCAAAGGAAAAGUGGGCUCUGGGACGAUGUGAUGCAGGAAAGCCCUCUACGAUGGAUCGCAUGCACGCGAAACGGUAGAUGCUUCAAGCAACGUUAGUGCGCGCGCCUUUAUCGACCAUGCCCUCCUCUGCCGAAAGUUGCGUUGAUCUGUUUGCAACGACGGUUUAACUCUUUGGCUGCAGUUGUGACUCCAGAGCGCCAAGUUUCGACUGACUGAUCAUUUGGACAUACAUACCCCAACUGCAACCACAAGCAAGAACUGCCAUUAGUGCCGACAGAGACAUAGGCCCAAGAACCUGCAUACCAAUAGACCUUUUUCAAGCACACGAGCGCCACCAAUGGGCGCGCAAGCGCUCAUGGGAUGUGUACGCCGCAGCAGCCGCCGCGACGAG